rnacentral:snRNA from 1 species
GAAAUCUUCGAAAUGAGGAGUU